rnacentral:rRNA from 1 species
AUUGAACGCUGGCGGCAGGCCUAACACAUGCAAGUCGAACGAGUGGCGGACGGGUGAGUAAUGUCUGGGAAACUGCCCGAUGGAGGGGGAUAACUACUGGAAACGGUAGCUAAUACCGCAUACCAUCAGAUGUGCCCAGAUGGGAUUAGCUAGUAGGUGGGGUAAUGGCUCACCUAGGCGACGAUCCCUAGCUGGUCUGAGAGGAUGACCAGCCAAACUGGAACGGAGACACGGUCCAGACUCCUACGGGAGGCAGGAGUGGGGAAUAUUGCAAAAUGGGAGCAAGCCUGAUGCAGCCAUGCCGCGUGUAUGAAGAAGGCCUUCGGGUUGUAAAGUACUUUCAGCGGGGAGGCGUUACCCGCAGAAGAAGCACCGGCUAACUCCGUGCCAGCAGCCGCGGUAAUUC